rnacentral:rRNA from 1 species
UGAGGAAUAUUGGUCAAUGGACGAGAGUCUGAACCAGCCAAGUAGCGUGCAGGAUGACGGCCCUAUGGGUUGUAAACUGCUUUUGUUUGGGAAUAAUCGACAUUACGUGUAAUGUUUUGCAUGUACCAUUCGAAUAAGGACCGGCUAAUUCCGUGCCAGCAGCCGCGGUAAUACGGAAGGUCCAGGCGUUAUCCGGAUUUAUUGGGUUUAAAGGGAGUGUAGGCGGUUGGUUAAGCGUGUUGUGAAAUGUAGAUGCUCAACAUCUGACUUGCAGCGCGAACUGGCUGACUUGAGUACGCACAACGUUGGCGGAAUUCGUCGUGUAGCGGUGGAAUGCUUAGAUAUGACGAAGAACUCCGAUUGCGAAGGCAGCUGACGGGAGCGCAACUGACGCUUAAGCUCGAAGGUGCGGGUAUCAAACAGG